UACAGAGGUCCCAAGCGUUGUUCGGAUUCACUGGGCGUAAAGGGUGCGUAGGUGGUCGGGUAAGUCUGAUGUGAAAUCCCGCAGCUCAACUGCGGAAUGGCAUUGGAUACUAGUUGGCUAGAGGGUUGGAGGGGGGACUGGAAUUCUCGGUGUAGCAGUGAAAUGCGUAGAUAUCGAGAGGAACACCAGUGGCGAAGGCGAAUCUCUGGACAGUUACUGACACUGAGGCACGAAGGCCAGGGGAGCAAACAGG
rnacentral:rRNA from 1 species